GGCGAAGGGCGGGCCCGGGAGCCUGGGCGCUGGAGCGCAGCCACAGUCACGCCGCGGGACGGACUCAGGGACCGACGCUCAGCCGGACCCUUCAGGGCCAUGGCGGAGCACGCCGCUCGUAGCUGCUGCUUGGGCUGGGACUUCAGCACGCAGCAGGUGAAAGUUGUUGCUAUUGAUGCAGAGAUGAAUGUCUUCUAUGAGGACAGUGUGCAUUUUGACAGAGACCUUCCAGAAUUUGGGACUCAGGGUGGUGUUCAUGUGCACAAGGACAGGCUGACCGUUACCUCUCCAGUCCUGAUGUGGAUCCAGGCUCUGGACAUCAUCUUGGAGAAGAUGAAGACUUCGGGCUUUGACUUCUCUCAAGUCCUAGCCUUGUCUGGGGCAGGCCAGCAACACGGAAGCAUAUACUGGAAGACUGGGGCCAGUUUGGCACUGACAACCCUGUCACCAGACCUCCCGUUACACCAGCAGCUGCAGGCUUGCUUUUCCAUCAGCGACUGCCCAGUGUGGAUGGACUCCAGCACCACAGCCCAGUGCCGCCAGCUGGAGGCUGCCGUGGGUGGGGCCCAGACUCUUAGCUGCCUCACAGGGUCCCGUGCCUAUGAGCGUUUUACAGGAAACCAGAUUGCAAAGAUUUGCCAGCAGAACCCUGAGGCCUACUCACACACAGAGAGAAUUUCUUUGGUCAGUAGCUUUGCUGCUUCCCUCUUCCUUGGCUCUUACUCUCCCAUUGACUACAGUGAUGGUUCUGGAAUGAAUUUGUUUCAGAUCCAGGACAAAGUCUGGUCCCAGACUUGCCUUGACGCCUGUGCCCCUCACUUAGAGGAGAAGCUUGGCACACCAGUACCAUCAUGCUCUGUUGUGGGAGCCAUUUCUUCCUACUAUGUCCAGCGCUACGGAUUUCCUCCGGGAUGCAAAGUAGUGGCCUUCACUGGUGACAAUCCAGCAUCACUGGCAGGCAUGAGGCUGGAGGAAGGUGACAUUGCGGUCAGCCUGGGCACCAGCGACACCCUAUUUCUCUGGCUCCAGGAGCCCACACCUGCCCUAGAAGGCCACAUCUUCUGCAACCCAGUUGACCCACAGCACUACAUGGCACUCUUGUGCUUUAAAAAUGGCUCCCUCAUGAGAGAGAAGAUCCGCGAUGAAUGUGCUUCCUGUUCCUGGAGUGAGUUCUCUAAGGCACUGCAGUCCACGGAGAUGGGGAAUGGUGGAAACCUAGGUUUUUAUUUUGAUGUAAUGGAGAUCACCCCUGAAAUUAUUGGGCGUCAUAGGUUUGAUGCAGAAAACCAAGAGGUCCCAGCAUUCCCCAGAGAUGUGGAGAUUCGAGCACUGAUUGAAGGACAAUUCAUGGCCAAGAGGAUUCAUGCAGAAGGCCUGGGCUACCAAGUCAUGCCCAAGACAAAGAUUUUGGCCACAGGAGGAGCAUCUCACAAUAAAGACAUCUUACAGGUGCUUGCAGAUAUAUUUGGUGCCCCGGUGUAUGUCAUAGACACUGCCAACUCAGCUUGUGUGGGCUCUGCAUACCAAGCUUUUCAUGGUGGAACAGAUGUGCCCUUUACAGAGGUUGUCAAGUUAGCCCCAAAUCCCAGACUGGCUGCCACCCCAAGCCCAGGAGCUUCUCAGGUCUACGAGGCCCUUCUUCCCCGGUAUGCUAAACUUGAACAAAGAGUCUUGUUCCGGACCCAAAGGACUCUGGAAUGAAUUCUGCAGGCCCAGGAACCCCUGUCACCCCUGCCUGCCCAGACUCACUGAUCCCACUUGGAGACACAGCCCUGAACACCAAGGACUCUCUUCCUAGUUCUGAGCAGCUCUCCUUGCUCAUGCUGACUCUUCAGCAUGCUCCAGUCCUAUCCAGAACUAUCCUGAAGCUGGCUUCAGCACAUCUUCCUGAAGACAUUUGGGCUACCUGUACCCUAUGCCUUGGGUCAGGAGAGCAUCUCUCUUUUCCUGUCUUUCAUUCAAAGAAGCAGGAUAACACCAAGUCUGGGAUAUAUCGACUAAAAAAUUGUGACCUCUCUCUUUUCAAAGGCAGAAUGAAAGCUGAUCUUGGGACCGUAAUCAGCAGACUGGGAGAAACAAAGCCUUCUCCCACCCCCUACCCCAGCCCUGACUCUGGCCACGCCCCACCAACCCUGACCCACAGAUGCCCCACUCAUACCCUUACCCUGCUGUCCACUCUCUCCUACAACCCAGAGUCCCCAGCCACUUCUCUUUUAUACCCUGUCCCUCCCAGCUGUUUCCACCCUGCUCAUUUCACCAUCGUAGGUGCCCUCUCAGGUUCUCUCCUGUCUGCCCACACCCUCCCUCCACAUGCUCACCCUUUUCUGCAUGCAGCCUGUCCUUCCCUCAUGUGUCACCCAACCCCUCCCCAUACCCACCUGGUGUAAUUCACCACUUCCCACCUGAAAAGAACCAAUAGGCCUGGCAGACAUGCUUUCCGGGCCUUCCCUCAGCUCUGCCCAGAGUCCACUAGACUCUGGGUCUCAUCAGAUCCCUUGGUUGGACCAUCUCCCAGGUGGUGGAGUUUAGGGCUCUCCUCUCUUUCUCAUUGAAGUUCACUUAUUGAAGACAUUUUGUCAAGUUUCUGGGAGAAUUUUCCAAAUUCUUGAUUUCUUUUUAUUUUGGAGUAUUUUCAUCAGCUAAAGAACUGAUCAGCUAAAGGUUUUGAAUCUCACUUUCAGUUCUCUUCCUGUAUUUGUAUAGAUAGUGGGUGGGUUCCUUCUUCCUUCUUCUCCAUCCCUCCUGUUUUACUUAAUACCUCUGUAUUCCUGGAUCAAUUAUUUGCAAAAGCUUCCAUAGAAAGUCCUCUGUAAAAUCCUCUAGAUUUUUCUUCUGUCAUAGGCCUUGCUGAAUGUGGGGAUUCCAGUUAAACCAAAGUACUCUUGGGCUCAUCCAGAGUGGCAAGAUGUUGCAGACAGGUCUAAAGCCUGGUGGAUGAAUAGUGACUAGUGGGAAGUCAAAAGGGAGAUGCUUAGACAGUGACUGAAACCAGUGCAUUCCUUCUGAUAGAGAUGAAGCCAUCCUGAAAGGAAGUGGUGUCCCACAGGGUUUUUGGUGGGUGAAAAAGGAAAAAGGAAGUAAAAGUAAAAAAGAUAGCAGCCCAUCAAAUAACAACAGCAACUCCAAGAUUCAGAAGAAAACACAACUCACCCGUCACCAUCUGGACAUUUCUUGUUAAAGAAAUUUUACAUCAAUCAAUAGAAAAGGGCUCUCUUGGACCAUGAAACAGAGUGAACUGUAACACAGCUCUCCAACAGAAAUUUUUUAAAAAAUAAAAAAUUCGUGGAUGUGAAAGAAAACCACAGAUCACACAUUCAAAAACAAUUAAAAUGAAAAAGCAGCAAGCAUAUGUGAAAAGAGAACUGAUUGAAUGUGGGAAAAAAAUUUAACAAAAAGAUAAAAUCAUGACAGAUAUGGAGACUAAAUUCCAAUAUAUCCCAAUGAAAGUAGAUAACAUCUGCUGUACAGUAAAGCUCAAAGAAGGCAGGAAUGAGAAGAAGAUAGGCAAAGAAGAGACAGCAUGGGUAAAUUGAAGCUCCUGAAGGAAAAAAAUUUUAAAAAGAAAUUGAAAUGGUGGUAAUAAUUAGAACUACCCAAAAGAAAUUUCUGUAAACAACAUGCUGAGCAAGGGCUGCAUGACUGAGCUAUAUCCCCAGCCCCUGAACCUGAAACUAUGUCUUGAAAAGAUCAUUCUUGUCACUUGUGGAAAUUGACCCAAAAUAAUCAACUCUGAGACAUACUGUAGCAAACUAUUACAUUAUGAAGCUAAAAGAAAAAUGCUCCAGGCCAAAAGCUCUACUCUGUUACAAAGGAAGGAAGAUCAGCAGGCUGUAAUGACUCCCUUGCUGACUUCAGUGAAGCAAACUGCCCUACAGAGAGACCCACAUGGCAAGAAACUGGGGACAGCUUCUUGCCAAUUUCCAUCAAAGAACUGCAGCCCUCAUCCAGUAAUCCACAAGGAACUGCAUCUUGCCAACAACCACGAGUUUGGAAGUGGAUCCUUGCCCAGUGAAGCCUCACAUGAGACCCUAGUCCUGGAUAACAUCUUAACCGCAGCCUUAUAAAAGAUUCUGAAGUACAGGACCCAGCUAGGCCAUGCUCAAAUUCUUAACCCACAAAAACUCAGAUUACAAAUGGGUGUGGUUUUAAGUCACUAAAUUUAUGCUGAUGUUAUGCAGCAAUAGAUACCUAACACAUGUAGGGCACAGAACUGGAGCUUAUUUGCAGAUCAUUGCCCAUCUACAGAGGAGGGAGGCCUGGCAUCACUUUCCCAGUGGGAUUUUGGAAUUGGUUUGGGCAAGUAAAUGUUACGAUGCCUUCCAUUCUCACACUUUCCAAAUGGAAGGGCAUUUGUAAUUACCCUGUCCUUGUUUUACGCACUUGUUAGGUAUGUGGGAAGCAACUAAUCUGACUUUUAAUUCAUGUAUUUUUGGAUUAUGAGUAGCCACAUCCAGACAUGAUAGGGGGAAUCAUGAGAUCUUGAAUUUUGAUGUCAUGUUUGAGAUUUUGGAGGCCGCUGGGAUGGGAAUGCUCAUAUUUCAUAUGUAGGAACGAUGUGAAGAAUGGUCAUAAGUUGGCAAAGUUGGCAAAAAUAGCCUCAAAUGCUUCAUACCUGGGUUAGCCAGCUUUCCAUCAUGGUAACAAAAUACCUGAGAUAAAUAGGACUGGGGGUGAAGAGCACUUGCCUAGUAUAUUUGAGGCCCUGGUUCAAUCCCUAGCUCCACAAACAAGCCAACAAACAAACUCUGAGACAACUUUAAAAAGAGGGAAAUUUUUGUUUUGGCUCACAGUUUGAGUGGUUCCAAUUGAUGGUUGGCUGGCCUUGUUGCUUUUGAGUCUGUGGUGAGGCAGCAUUUCAUAGCUGAAGCCUGUAUGGAGGUAACUCCUCACCUCAUGGUGUCCAGGAAGCAGAGACCAGAAGGGACCAAGGUCCCAAUAUCCCCUUCAAGGGUACACCCCUGAUGAUCUAAUUUCCUUCCACUAGGGCCCGCCUCCUAAGGAUUAUACCACCUCCCAAAAGCACCAUGGGUGAGAGACCAAGCUUUUUAAUACAUGAGCCUUUGGGGAACAUUCCAGAUCCAGAUUACAGUAAUACCUAACUUAUCCACAGACUUUGCUACGUAAUUUGGUCAUGCCCUUCCAUUCUGACUCUAAGAUUGGCUGUGCUGCUUACCAAGAUUGUCAGUGGGAUGUUAGCAAACAUGGAAGCUGAGGCCUGAAAAUAACUUGUGUGGUUGAGUUUGCUUGCAGGAGCACCGUUUCUAUGAUAACAUGACUGGGAGGGUGACAAACGUGGAGUAGAUCCUGGUCAUUCCAGGUGUUCCAACCAACAGCUGAAUUCCAUGUAUGUAAGCUCAGCUAAUGUCAAAAUCAUCUAGCCAAUUGUCUCAGUCACACAGACAAUAAACAUUUUAUCUCUGUAGACCUUUGAGAGUUUGUUGUUGCAUGUUAGUGUUAUAACAAUAGACAAUUGAUAAUACCUAAACUCAUAAAUAUUACACAAAAUAAAACUAGAUCAAUCUCUUAUUAAUAUCAAUGAAAUUAAUAAUUGUAUCAAAUUAUUGAUUAGUAUAAACUUUGUAAAUGACUUAUUUUCAAAUAUUAUCAAAUUAAUAUCAAUUUUUAAAAUCUCAAAUAAAAUGUCAACAAACCAUUAGGGCAUUGAAGGUGAUGUUUCAUGACCAAAUGUAAUUUAUUUCCAAAUGGUUCAGUAUCAGCAAGUCAAUGCUUAUAAUUCUUCACUUAAAUAGGUCUAAGAAGA